CACGUAGGGCGCAAGCGUUGUCCGGAAUUAUUGGGCGUAAAGAGCUCGUAGGUGGUUUGUUACGUCUGCUGUGAAAACCUAGGGCUUAACCCUGGGCUUGCAGUGGAUACGGGCAGACUAGAGGUAGGUAGGGGAGAAUGGAAUUCCUGGUGUAGCGGUGAAAUGCGCAGAUAUCAGGAGGAACACCGGUGGCGAAGGCGGGUCUCUGGGCCGAUACUGACGCUGAGGAGCGAAAGCCAGGGGAGCAAACGGG
rnacentral:rRNA from 1 species